CCCCUCUCAGGAUCGCACCUGGAGGGUUUCCAAUACUCUACCAGUCUCAACUGCGGAAGGGAGAGUCAAGUAGAGGCACACCCAUUCCAUUCCUAGCUUGGGCAGUGGCUAGUGAGUGGAAGGCAAUCAGUUACAGGU